rnacentral:lncRNA from 1 species
CAAAAGAUACUCCAGAAUCUGGUUUGGAAUAGAUGCCGAACUCUUUUUUUCCUUUUCCUAAGACACUCACUAGAUUGAAGGAGGAGCGGGAAUCUGAAGACUCCAAAUGACAUCAGAGUUACUUUUCAGCAGCCUUCUCAGUUUCCUUUCUCAGAAAGCAGAGACUCCAACCUUGGAGAUGGACGUAUCUGUACCUUAAGGCAACAGAAGAAGAACAGAGAGUCAAGCACAACCCAGAGUUCCAGUGCCAAAUGAGUCAGUAUGUGAAUUAUCUGCAGUGAAGACUCACCUCAAGACAAGCCCAAAGACCCCCCU